rnacentral:rRNA from 1 species
CCUACGGGCGGCUGCAGUGGGGAAUAUUGGACAAUGGGGGCAACCCUGAUCCAGCCAUGCCGCGUGUGUGAAGAAGGCCCUCGGGUUGUAAAGCACUUUCAGUGAGGAAGAACGCCUGGUGGUUAAUACCCAUCAGGAAAGACAUCACUCACAGAAGAAGCACCGGCUAACUCCGUGCCAGCAGCCGCGGUAAUACGGAGGGUGCGAGCGUUAAUCGGAAUUACUGGGCGUAAAGCGCGCGUAGGUGGCUUGAUAAGCCGGUUGUGAAAGCCCCGGGCUCAACCUGGGAACGGCAUCCGGAACUGGCAAGCUAGAGUGCAGGAGAGGAAGGUAGAAUUCCCGGUGUAGCGGUGAAAUGCGUAGAGUUCGGGAGGAAUACCAGUGGCGAAGGCGGCCUUCUGGACUGACACUGACGCUGAGGUGCGAAAGCGUGGGUAGCAAACAGGAUUAGAUACCCCAGUAGUC